rnacentral:lncRNA from 1 species
GGCUCGGUCAGGCCGGGCCGCCUGGCGCCCCCUGGCGGUUGGGCGGUGCUGCGGCGGAGCGGCGCUCCCGAGGGGGCGGCACGGCCGGGUGGGCUGCCGGGAGGAGUUCCCGCCGUCCUUUCAGCUGAACUUCUUUCCUAUCCGUAGCUGCUGCUUCCCCCCGGAAUUAUCUCCAUAAAAAGCAGCACAGCAGCCUAUGGGAAAACACUUCUUCCUUGCAGCUAAGAAUGACCCUGCAGGGCCCUUUGCAGGCGGGUUGAGAAGGUGAGGAGCACAGAGCAGUGCUUGGCGGUUGGUUCUGUGCAUCACCAGGAAGCCGAGCAGAAGAUUCCUUGCCAUGCACGUGCCAGGCCACGCUGCUGCAAAGCCUUAGCUGUCCUCAGCAGGGGCAGGACUCACAGCUGGGCGUGGGGAAGGCUUUCUGCUCUGUGACAAUACAGCUCUGCUUCAAGGCGUGCGUCUUCUGUUCUGUGCAGGUUUGGCUGAGUGCAGGGACUGCUGUUUCAUUCCCCAUUUUGAGAAGUAGUCAGGCAAGGAUUACUAUUGAGAAAUAAUUUUUUUUAAACCAGCUUCCAAAAUAGACCUUUGUGUAACGUUCAGAUGUCAGGGGUUGGACUCAAUGGUCUCUAGAGCUCCCUUCCAAUCCAUGCAAUUCCGUGCUGUGAUCAUAC